rnacentral:rRNA from 1 species
AUUGAACGCUGGCGGCAUGCCUUACACAUGCAAGUCGAACGGCAGCGGACCUUCGGGUGCCGGCGAGUGGCGAACGGGUGAGUAAUAUAUCGGAACGUACCUUUCAGUGGGGGAGUAACGUAGCGAAAGUUACGCUAAUACCGCAUAUUCUGUGAGCAGGAAAGCAGGGGAUCGCAAGACCUUGCGCUGAUUGAGCGGCCGAUAUCAGAUUAGCUAGUUGGUGAGGUAAAGGCUCACCAAGGCGACGAUCUGUAGCGGGUCUGAGAGGAUGAUCCGCCACAUGGAACUGAGACACGGUCCAGACUCCUACGGGAGGCAGCAGUGGGGAA